rnacentral:rRNA from 1 species
UACGGAGGGUGCGAGCGUUGUCCGGAAUCACUGGGCGUAAAGGGCGCGUAGGCGGCUUCUUAAGCGUGUGGUGAAAGCUCGGGGCUCAACCUCGAGUCGGCCAUGCGAACUGGGAGGCUUGAGCACUGUAGAGGCAGGUGGAAUUCCGGGUGUAGCGGUGGAAUGCGUAGAGAUCCGGAGGAACACCAGUGGCGAAGGCGACACGCUGGGCCGUACCUGACACUGAGGCGCGAUAGCAUGGGGAGCAAACAGG